rnacentral:rRNA from 1 species
GAUGAACGCUGGCGGCGUGCCUAAUACAUGCAAGUCGAGCGAACAGAUGAGGAGCUUGCUCCUCUGACGUUAGCGGCGGACGGGUGAGUAACACGUGGAUAACCUACUUAUAAGACUGGGAUAACUUCGUGAAACCGGAGCUAAUACCGGAUAAUAUAUUGAACCGCAUGGUUCAAUAGUGAAAGACGGUUUUGCUGUCACUUAUAGAUGGAUCCGCGCCGCAUUAGCUAGUUGGUAAGGUAACGGCUUACCAAGGCAACGAUGCGUAGCCGACCUGAGAGGAUGAUCGGCCACACUGGAACUGAGACACGGUCCAGACUCCUACGGGAGGCAGCAGUAGGGAAUCUUCGGCAAUGGGCGAAAGCCUGACGCAGCAACGCCGCGUGAGUGAUGAAGGUCUUCGGAUCGUAAAACUCUGUUAUUAGGGAAGAACAAAUGCGUAAGUAACUAUGCACGUCUUGACGGUACCUAAUCAGAAAGCCACGGCUAACUACGUG